AGUCUCUUGUUAAGGAAACAGAAAAAGUUCAAAUAUAAAUUUAAAGCCAUUAUAGGAGACGUAAUACAUAAUGAUAGUGAAGCCAAAGGUAAAUACAAAAACUCAGAAGUACCCAAUACUACUUUGAGCCGGUUUCAGUUUCUAAUAGUUCCCAUAGGAAGUGCCCAAAUGACAGAAUACAUAUGUGAAGCAGCUUUGUAAGGCGUGAAGGCUUUGAAAUGAAUUUUUGUUAUUUGCAUUGCUGACUUCUGCUAUUCUGUUGUCACAUACCUUGGCCCAGAUUCUCAUCCCCCGCGGCCAGGAGACCGGAUUAACAGCAGUCUCCAGGAGGAAGACCUGCGGGGAUUCUGUAGGUGGGGGUGGAGGACUCAAGCUGCUGUGAACGAGCCAGGGAGGUUGUGCCUGUGACUUCUUGUCCCCUCUGAUUCCCACAGCCCACGGACAGGAUAUCUGAGCACAGCGCAUUGGAUUCCUCCAAACACUCUUUCUGAAGUCCCUCGGAGAGAGGCAUGAAACUGCUUCCGGGAUGGCAGCUAGAAGAGGACGAGAGAUUCAAAGAUUGCAUGGAUCCCAGAUCGAGAACUGGUUGAAUGCCUUAGAGAAGACCCGGGCUCCACACUUUGGAAGAGUUGAGUCUGAAAUCAGGAAAUUGGACUCUUCUGGAAUCUCUGACUUUUUAUUGUCCUUGUGGAAGUGUGACAAGUCACUCUUGAAUGGCAACGUCCAAGCUUUCUUGAUGGCAGACAGCAGUAACUUCUUGGGUGUGAAACUUGCCUGAAAUGGUAACUACUAAGAGAAAGUGGAGAGAGAAGGAGAAAUAAAAGAAGAGGCUUAAGGAAUAGUGCCA
rnacentral:lncRNA from 1 species